rnacentral:rRNA from 1 species
UACGUAGGGGGCAAGCGUUGUCCGGAAUCAUUGGGCGUAAAGCGCGUGUAGGCGGCCCGGUAAGUCCGCUGUGAAAGUCGGGGGCUCAACCCUCGAAUGCCGGUGGAUACUGUCGGGCUAGAGUGCGGAAGAGGCGAGUGGAAUUCCUGGUGUAGCGGUGGAAUGCGCAGAUAUCAGGAGGAACACCAAUUGCGAAGGCAGCUCGCUGGGACGUGACUGACGCUGAGACGCGAAAGCGUGGGGAUCAAACAGG